GACAGAGGAUGCAAGCGUUAUCCGGAAUGAUUGGGCGUAAAGCGUCUGUAGGUGGCUUUUUAAGUCCGCCGUCAAAUCCCAGGGCUCAACCCUGGACAGGCGGUGGAAACUACCAAGCUGGAGUACGGUAGGGGCAGAGGGAAUUCUCGGUGUAGUGGUGAAAUACGUAGAUAUCGAGAAGAACACCAAUAGCGAAAGCACUCUGCUGGGCCGAAACUGACAUUGAGAGACGAAAGCUAGGGAGCGAAAGG
rnacentral:rRNA from 1 species